UUGAGUGUCCGUCACUGGGGAGCCCACUGAGUUCUCCUCCCAGGCCCACGGGUGGCUGGGAGGCAAUUCCGUUACCAAUUUGGUAUCUCCCCGUCAACAGCAGCCACAAAGCGGGCAGCUCAUCCUCCCACUGGACAUGUCUCUAACUUGCACUAUGAGCAGUCAGCCCUGAGACCCCAAAUCCGGCACCAGCAGAGGCCACGUCUCCCUCUCACCACCUGAAGUCAGCCUGGGAUCCAGCCGGGAUCCACAGGGCAGGGAAUUCCUUCCCUUGAUGCCCACUAGGGAGCUCUUGCCGUAGCAGCUGGGGUAGGGUGGGGACUUGAUGACUUGGGCCUUGUGGCUCUGAUAAGAUACAAAGAGAAGCCUUCCCCUGCUGGCUGCCCUUGACACCCUCCCCAGCUCCUCCAGCAGGGCUCCCCACCCCCUGGUCUGACGUCCCACAAAUCUGGGCUGCAGCAUUUCCUACCUUGACUCACUGUUGCCUUAAUUUGUUUCUUCCUAUUUAACAUUCAGUCAUUAAUAGCAUGGACUCUGGUCUUGGACAACCUUAACUUAAGCCAAGUGUCUCCCUUCUCUGUCUCGGUUCCUACUGCUGUAAGUGAGGAGAAUGCUAGUUCCUCUUUUAUAGGCUUGCUGUCAGCACUAAAUGAGUGGAUGCAGGUAAAGCAUUCAUAACAGUGUCCGGAACAUAAGAAACACUGCACUCCUGUUGACUGUUUUAUUAUUGUUCCUUAGGCCUCCAUGACGCCUCCUAAUCAGUGGGUUCUUCCGAGGUUUCAUCCGUCAGGAGAGAGGGAACAGAGAGAGCCUGUCAGCUCCCCGCCAGGAUGCAAUCUUUUCAGAAGCUUCAACAAGAGACGAGUAGAGUUAAAAGAGAAUCCUCUAAGGAUGCAAGGUACCUUCCAGCAAAGUCAAUGCAUGUUACUGUCCAAACUUUCAACUGCAGGCAGAGCUAAGCCAUGAACUCCAGAUCAGACAGAAACCAGACCUGGAGCAGAGAGGGUGCCCGUUGUACCAGGGUCCCCCGAGAGCUUGGCCUGGCUGGCACACAGGCGUGUGUGUCAGACACUCAGACUGGAGGACUGCUGGCUGCACCUGACAGGGCAGGGGAUGUGGGCUUUCCAGAUCAGAACACAAAAACUCACUUCCUAAUUGUAAAGGAGAAAAAGAGCUGAGCAGGCCAGCUUCUCUCAAAUUUAGUCAAACAGGCUACUUUGUUGUUCUUAAGCUCUAAAAACAAAAAACUACCCACCCUGUGGCUGCUACUGCUGCCUGUGUCAUCUCAGAUGUCACAGUGGGUCCGAAGGAGGCAGGCGAGUGUCUGCAAGGCACUCAGGGUGGGAGUGGAGUUGAGAGAAGCUGCCCCCACCUGGAGAUCACCUUGCUGCACCCUCUCCACUACCCUGCAGAGAAAGGCAGUUAGCAGAAGAGCAGGUCCACAGGCAGUUGUGACUUCCCAAUGGGACCUCACUUCCAGGCUCAUGAGCCUGGACUGCAUUGCCAUCAGCCUUCCCUGGACAAAGCAGCAGAAGAAACAAGCACGAAGGAGCAGUCCCGCCACCAUGUGUUCAGGAGUUUGCCCUGGAAUCCGAAGCCAAGUUGUUAGAAUUGUUUCAUUUUACACUGGUUUUCAGGUCACCCCAGGCCUAGAAUGGCAUGUGCUUCUAUAACUCAAGACAAGCUGCCAACUUCUCAAGAACUUUCUCUAUCCUGACACCCAGACAUUCAAAGUCUGGGGCUGGCAUCCAUCUCCUGUUUUCACUCAGGCUGCUUACCUGUGUUGUCAAAACCUUAAACAGCAGAGCCUCUUUUACUGUUUCCCCCUCCGAACUUCACAGCCCCUGUGGAAACUCCCCCAGGAUGUAUCCUGGUGUCCCCGAGAUGUCUGCUGGGACAUGAAGAGUAAUGGGCAGCUCCCACACAUAAACCUAGGGAGCUUGACAGCUGCCCUCCACGAUGCCAGCCUGAGCCUGGGAUGAAGAGGAUGGCACGAGAACCCAGUCCUCAUGAGAUACUCAGAAAAUACCUCAGCAGAACUAGAGAACAGAUAUCCCCUAAACCCCAGUAUUCUUUGACAAUAUUAACUCCAUGAUUCCAUGAUCACUGGUGUUACCAAAUCCCGGUCUUUUCCUGCUGCCCUAAGAUCAGCCAAGAGCUAACCUUUCAAGCCCAUUUUCUCUCCAGAAAGGACAACAAUUUAAGACAUGCUUAAACUGACCAGUCAAUAAAUGGCCAGAGGUCAUUAUGAGGGUUAACUUUAUUUUGAAAACUUACAAAUCAAAUUAAAAUAAAAAACAGCUUGAAAUCAUCAGAGAAAAGGGCUAAAAUAAUUUCAAAUUUUGACAGGUGGAUGGAAUUGCUAACCUAUAUAAGGAAAGGUAAAACCAUAGUCUUGACGGGAAGUCGUUGGUUAAAUGUUACCAUGUGGGUGCACCUCCCCCUAC